GCAGCCCCGCCCCCGAGUGCGCUGGGGCGGGUGGAGGAGGAGCUCAGCGCCCCCGCGGCGUUCCCGUCUGACGGCGCUCCCUCGUGUGCUCACUCAGCACGUUUCCUACGCUCCUGAAAGGCAGAGGUUGAAAUUACGGGAAAUAUGGAGUGAGCACCAUGAGCACCUUGAGGGAGCACCUCGACUGGCCAGGCUUCGCAUUUUUAAAAAAUAUUCUCCUCUGACCUGUGAAACAGGAGCUAAUCCCCAUUUUACAGGAGUAAAUAACUCCGUGGAGCUGAGAUUCUACUUCACUCUACUGCACAGCUUGGCCCCUCCUCGCACAGUCAAUGAUGGGGCAGCCGAGGCAGAGACAGAAACGGAUUCCAACAUCCUAGAGUCUGUGAUGGCCAAGCUCCCUCCUUCCUCCAGCUCCAGGCCUGGCUGGGCCAGGCUCUCCUCUGCCCUCUGCUCACCUUCUCAGUCCUGCGGGCCAAGAUGACCAGGCCUCGGAUGCACAGCACCUUCAUGAUGGGUUCCUGGUGGUUCAGGCCUUCUGCCAUCCGCCCCAGAGAGUACUCCUCUGGGAUCCGCCGCACCUGCUCCAUCUGAAGGAGCUGAGGGAAUAGCGGUAAUUACUCCCUGAGCCGAGGGACAGGGCAACCCCCCACACACACACCCCCUCCCCAGUCUCCCCAGGCACUAGGAGUACGUGCUGGAUGGCCAGGGGCUGAGUGUGGGACCUGAAUGAUGGCUAUCUGGUUAGUGCCGUCCAAGGCAAGCCACAGGCCUAAGUUUAAGUUUCCUAGGAGCCACAUUAAAAAAGAAAAAAAAAAAAAAGGUGAAAUUAAUGUCAGUAAUUGUCAGUAAUGCAUCUUAUUCGACCCCAUAUAUCCAAAGUAUUAUCAUUUUGCUAUGUAAUCAAAUUAAAAAUUAUUGAUAUAUUUUAUUUACACUCUAUAAAAAUUUUUUUUGAACCAAGUCUGAAACGUGGUGUGAAUUUUAAACUUACAACACAUUUCAGUUCAG